GACGAACGCUGGCGGCGUGCUUAACACAUGCAAGUCGAACGGUAAGGCCCUUCGGGGUACACGAGUGGCGAACGGGUGAGUAACACGUGGGUGAUCUGCCCUGCACUUCGGGAGAAGCCUGGGAAACUGGGUCUAAUACCGGAUAGGACCACGGCCUGCCUGGGAGGUGCUGGUAAGCUUUUGCGGGGUGGGAUGGGCCCGCGGCCUAUCAGCUUGUUGGUGGGGUGAUGGCCUACCAAGGCGAGGACUGGUAGCCGGCCUGAGAGGGUGACCGGCCACACUGGGACUGGGAUACGGCCCAGACGCCUACGGGAGGCAGCAGUGGGGAAUAUUGCACAAUGGGCGCAAACCUGAUGCAGCGACGCCGCGUGAGGGAUAACGGCCUUCGGGUUGUAAACCUCUUUCAGCACCGACGAAGCGCAAGUGACGGUAGGUGCAGAAGAAGGACCGGCCAACUACGUGCCAGCCGCCGCGGUAA
rnacentral:rRNA from 1 species